rnacentral:rRNA from 1 species
UACGGAAGGCAGCAGUGGGGAAUCUUGCGCAAUGGGCGAAAGCCUGACGCAGCCAUGCCGCGUGAAUGAUGAAGGUCUUAGGAUUGUAAAAUUCUUUCACCGGGGACGAUAAUGACGGUACCCGGAGAAGAAGCCCCGGCUAACUUCGUGCCAGCAGCCGCGGUAAUACGAAGGGGCUAGCGUUGCUCGGAAUUACUGGGCGUAAAGGGCGCGUAGGCGGAUCGUUAAGUCAGAGGUGAAAUCCCAGGGCUCAACCCUGGAACUGCCUUUGAUACUGGCGAUCUUGAGUAUGAGAGAGGUAUGUGGAACUCCGAGUGUAGAGGUGAAAUUCGUAGAUAUUCGGAAGAACACCAGUGGCGAAGGCGACAUACUGGCUCAUUACUGACGCUGAGGGCGCGAAAGCGUGGGGAGCAAACAGGAUUAGAUACC